AUGAACCUGAGCAUAUACUUCAUCAGCCACCCACAGCUCUCAGGAUGCAGAGCUGCAGACACAGUGACCCACCCCAAAGGAGAUGUGACUGCUGUUGAAGGAGAAUCAGUGACACUUGACUGCAAUUACAGCACAAGCUUCACAAAUGCAUAUCUCUUCUGGUACAUAAAGUAUUCACAUGGAUUUCCUAAGUACAUGCUCAGACAGGAUACAUAUGGAGAAGAAGCCAGUGAGCCUGAGUUUGAGGAGAGAUUUCAUGCGAAUCUCAACAAAUGUUUUGGCCCUUCUCUGUACCUUUUAAAGAGCUUCAAUGUCCUUCUUACAGUACGCCUCAAGUUUUCUCUCCUCUAA